GCCUACAGCCAUACCACCCUGGAAACGCCCGAUCUCAUCUGAUCUUGGAAGCUAAGCAGGGUUGGGCUCGGUUAGUACUUGGAUGGAGACUGCCUGGGAAUACCGAGUGUCAUAGACG
ensembl:rRNA 5S_rRNA 5S ribosomal RNA